rnacentral:rRNA from 1 species
UCUGGUUGAUCCUGCCAGUAAUAUAUGCUUGGAUGAAGGAUUAAGCCAUGCAAAUGUAAGAAUAAGUCGGUUUCGACAAAUCUGUGGAAGGCUAAGUAAAAAAGGGAAAAAGAAAGAGGGGGAGAAAGUUUGUGGAUAAUGAAAGGAAAUCUUUCAAUAAUACAAAAAGUGUAGCAAUGUAUAAAUGAAUGGACUUGCUACUGAUAAGCUGGGCAACCAGCGACCCCUCAUCUGACUCUUAUGUAUCAAUUAGAAUUUAGGGUAAGGGCCUAAAUUGAUGAUAACGCAUACAGAGAAUUAGGGUUCGAUUCUGGAGAGGGAGCAUGAGAGAUGGCUACCACUUCUAAGGAAGGCAGCAGGCGCGCAAAUUGCCCAAUUUGGAAAUCACGAGGCAGCGAACAUCAAUAACAAUGAGAGACUGAAUAACAGUUUUUCAAUUGGAAUGAGAUAUGAGAAGAGAAAAAAGCGAGAAUCAAGUGGAGGGCAAGUCUGGUGCCAGCAGCCGCGGUAAUACCAGCUCCACAAGCGUAUGUUAAAGCUGCUGCAGUUAAAACGCUCGUAGUUGUGGUUUCGUCAGUGCAGGAGUGUGUGCCUCAAAAAGGCGCGCGCUUCGGCGCUGAUUACACUGUAGUGUGCGUGUUAACUCUCACACACUUUGUAAACCUUGAAGAAAUAUUAACGCUUAAAAUUUGACUUACGUCAAAGUUCUUUUUGCAUGGGAUUUUGAAAUAUGAGUGGCGGAGUAAAAUCCGUUGCUAAUGACAUUUGAGGAUGAAAGAGGAAGUUAAUAUUUGUGAGUCAGAGGUGAAAUUCUUGGAUUUCACAAAGAUUAACUAAUGCGAAGGCAUUCUUCAAUUGCUUUCCUGUCAAUCAAGAACGAAAGUAAGGGGAUCGAAGACGAUCAGAUACCGUCGUAGUCUUUACAGUAAAUUUUGCCGACAAAGGAAGCGGGAACGAAAUAGAAUGCGCUGGGCAACCAGAGCAUUCAAUAUCCUCCUGUUUUCUCCCACGAAAGUUCAAGUCUUUGGGUUCUGGGGGGAGUAUGUUCGCAAGGCCGAAACUUAAAGGAAUUGACGGAAAGGCACCACCAGGCGAGGAGCCUGCGGCUUAAUUUGACCCAACACGGGAAAACUUACCAGGUCCAAACAGCGUGAGGAUUGACAGAUUGAGAGCUCUUUCAUGAUUCGUUGGGUGGUGGUGCAUGGCCGUUCUUAGUUGGUGGUGCGAGCUGUCUGGUUGAUUCCGUUAACGAACGAGACCUUUGUGGGAUAAUAGUUGAGUCAAGGUAUUGCGUCAAGGCUGGGGCUCACGUAUUGGGGAAGGAUCCGUUCCUCCCUUUACUCUGGGUGUCAGUUGCAACCUAGACUACAACUUCUUUCUCAGACAAAAAAG